rnacentral:rRNA from 1 species
UACGUAGGGUGCAAGCGUUGUCCGGAAUUAUUGGGCGUAAAGAGCUCGUAGGCGGCCUGUCACGUCGACUGUGAAAACCCAGGGCUCAACCUGGGCCUGCAGUCGAUACGGGCAGGCUAGAGUGUGGUAGGGGAGACUGGAAUUCCUGGUGUAGCGGUGAAAUGCGCAGAUAUCAGGAGGAACACCGGUGGCGAAGGCGGGUCUCUGGGCCAUAACUGACGCUGAGGAGCGAAAGCGUGGGGAGCGAACAGG